AGAGGUGGCAAGCGUUGUUCGGAUUUACUGGGCUUAAAGGGCGUGUAGGCGUCCUGGUAAGUCAGAUGUGGAAGCCUUGGGCUCAACCCAAGGAAUUGCAUUUGAUACUGUCGGGAUUGAGUCGUACAUGGGAGGGCGGAAUUCCUGGUGUAGCGGUGAAAUGCGUAGAUAUCAGGAGGAAGGCCAGUGGUGAAGACGGCCCUCUGGGUAAUGACUGACGCUGAGGCGCGAAAGCGUGGGUAGCAAACAGGAUUAGAUACCCUGGUAGUCCACGCCCUAAACGGUGGGUACUAGGUGUGGGUGGCGAUAGUCAUCUGUGCCAAAGGGAAACCGAUAAGUACCCCCGCCUGGGGGAGUACGGCCGCAAGGUUG
rnacentral:rRNA from 1 species